rnacentral:rRNA from 1 species
UACGGAGGGGGCUAGCGUUGUUCGGAAUCAUUGGGCGUAAAGGGCGCGUAGGCGGCCGAUCAAGUCGGAGGUGAAAUCCCUCGGCUCAACUGAGGAAUUGCCUUCGAUACUGUUCGGCUUGAGUCCUGGAGAGGGUAGCGGAAUUCCCGGUGUAGCGGUGAAAUGCGCAGAGAUCGGGAGGAACACCCGUAGCGAAGGCGGCGCUCUGGGCCGGUACUGACGCUGAGGAGCGAAAGCGUGGGGAGCAAACAGG